AUUGAAUACGCGCAAACAGGUGCCUUGGUCCUUGCCAAAGGACGAGGUGAAAAGGGAAGCCGGUGCAAGUCCGGCGCGGUCCCGCCACUGUAAAGCGGCUGUUGCAAUAGCUGCCAAGCCAGGAGACCUGCCUGUUUGCCUGAUGUGCC
rnacentral:ncRNA from 2 species